AGAGUUUGAUCCUGGCUCAGGACGAACGCUGGCGGCGUGCUUAACACAUGCAAGUCGAACGGAAAGGCCCUUCGGGGUACUCGAGUGGCGAACGGGUGAGUAACACGUGGGUGAUCUGCCCUGCACUUUGGGAUAAGCCUGGGAAACUGGGUCUAAUACCGAAUAUGACCAUGCACUUCCUGGCGUGUGGUGGAAAGCUUUUGCGGUGUGGGAUGGGCCCGCGGCCUAUCAGCUUGUUGGUGGGGUAAUGGCCUACCAAGGCGACGACGGGUAGCCGGCCUGAGAGGGUGACCGGCCACACUGGGACUGAGAUACGGCCCAGACUCCUACGGGAGGCAGCAGUGGGGAAUAUUGCACAAUGGGCGCAAGCCUGAUGCAGCGACGCCGCGUGAGGGAUGACGGCCUUCGGGUUGUAAACCUCUUUCAGCACAGACGAAGCGCAAGUGACGGUAUGUGCAGAAGAAGGACCGGCCAACUACGUGCCAGCAGCCGCGGUAAUACGUAGGGUCCGAGCGUUGUCCGGAAUUACUGGGCGUAAAGAGCUCGUAGGUGGUUUGUCGCGUUGUUCGUGAAAACUCACAGCUUAACUGUGGGCGUGCGGGCGAUACGGGCAGACUUGAGUACUGCAGGGGAGACUGGAAUUCCUGGUGUAGCGGUGGAAUGCGCAGAUAUCAGGAGGAACACCGGUGGCGAAGGCGGGUUUCUGGGCAGUAACUGACGCUGAGGAGCGAAAGCGUGGGGAGCGAACAGGAUUAGAUACCCUGGUAGUCC
rnacentral:rRNA from 1 species